GGAAGGCGGACGGACUUCCCUCCGGGAGGAUGUGGAGAUAGGUGAAAACUCUCCGACCCCGACCGAACAGCCUAGUACCCGCAAGUGGCUUUCUUCCAAUGGACGCCCCCAGAAGAUCAACACACACCUAGGGCAGGAGCGAGCACACACCAGAGGAGUGACGGUGGAAACAGGCACAUUAUCGGAAGAAUCCAUGAACAACAGAGUUUACCAAAAACAGAGGCAUUCAGGAAGCCACCUGAUGAAGAGCUGGAGAUGCAAACUUCUGAAGGGUUGAUCCUGCUGCACACACGGAUUACCAGAGAGGUACUGCUCGGGUUUCCAGAGCGGAGGAGUCGUCCUUUGAGACACAGCUAAAGAGACAGGUAAAUCUCUGGCUUUCAACUUAUUUCCCCUUUUGCGCUUCCUCUUUUUCUUUGAAUAGGGUUACAUUGCUGUCACAAAUGCUUCAUUCUGCCUCUGAUGUGUUUACCAUCUCCUUUUGCCCAAAGUAAAGCUGGUCCACAUAUUUCUAGACCAGAGUCUUAG
rnacentral:lncRNA from 1 species